rnacentral:lncRNA from 1 species
CUUAAAACCCAGAAGUGUAUAGAAAAUGAGUUGAAUAUCUUCUGCCUUAGCCCAUGUAUGAAUUUUUUGAGUAAAAUCAGUUUAUGGUUGAAUGUGUCAGUGUCUCCGGUACAUUCUAGGGAGUUGUUUAAUCCAGGGAAGGGAAUUAUUGACGGGGAUCCAAACCUCCUCAAAGAAAUGGUGCGUUAGCUUCAGGAUUUUGGUAGGAAUUGAGUUGAUACAUUCUGUUCGAACUAAAUAUGUUUACACAGCGUCAGAAAUAGGUUUAGACACCCAAACCGGGUCUGUAAGGGAGGCAUAUCAGCAGCAUAAGAUUUUAGGAAAAUUAUUAGAAUAGGGAAGUAAAAUCUUGAUGGAUAUUUAAACCAAAUAAAGGGCAGGAGAUUAGAAGAGAGAAGAUUACCUGGGUUUUGGUGACUAUCCUAAAAUAGGUGGAAAAAAAAAUAAGAAAAUGAUUAGUGUAUAGGCGCACUGAUGAACAUAUAUAUAGGUGCUGGGGAAAACUAAUUUAAGGAGCUCUGGGAAUGGCUUAGAAAUCUUGGGGCUAAAUGAAAAUCUAAAUUAAGUGUUCUGGUCAGUAUUUAAGUAGAAAAACCAUAUAAGGGAAUCUGGGACUGCAAGAAAUUCCUGGAAAUUAUAUUAAAAAAUUAAUUAAAGAGAGUAUACUGACCAAUAUCUAGUAGUAGGAAAACUACGCCAGGGGGCCUGAUUAUGCAGAACAUUUAGGGAAGAAAACUGAUUUAGUAUGUGGGCAUUGGACCCCAAAUUAGAAAAAAGGGAAACUAACUGAUGGGAAAUCACAAAAAAUAAAAAUAUUAAGUAAAAUCCGAUUCUUGAUGCUAAUUAAUUUUAAUAAAUUAAUUUGAUUUCCAUUAGUAAAUGGGUUGCGAUGUAACCAUAAAUUUGAUUGUAUAAUAUAAAUUAUAGGCUCUUUACAAAUUCUAACCCAUAGCGACUGUAUAUGGAAUAAAACUACCUAAUAUACUAAUUACUAAUCCACAGUACUCGUGCUGGUAUAAAACAUAGAAAUCAAAUUAUGUAAAUUAAUGGGUUUGGAAAAUGAAUGUUAGGAUUAAGGCUAAGUGUCCAAGAAAUUAAUUAAGUAAAAGGAUAAUUAAAUGUAUGGAUGAUAGUGGUAUUAAUAUCGAUUAAGGAAUUAGAAUAUAAUAUUUAUGUUAUAGUAGAAGGGAGUUUAACCAAGAAUAAUGGUUAAAUUAAGAACAAUACUAUGGGCUUUAAUCUCAAACGCUUAUAACAAAACCCAAACUGCAAAGGUAAGCAUUUUAGUUUUUUUAAGAUUUGAUUACGUUAAUAAAAGUAUUCAAGAGUAGUUCGAAAUUUGUAUAAGUAAAAUGAAAUCAGGUAUUACGGUUGGGACUAAAUCUUUGGAUUUAGUACGAUGUUGCGCCGGUUGAGUAAGAAUUGCAGUACUCACUUGAUCACUUUUAAUGAGUUUUUUAUAUACAUCUAAAAGGUGUAAUUCGAA